rnacentral:misc_RNA from 1 species
GUGAAUCAUCGAAUUUUUGAACGCAAAUUGCACUCUCUUCGGAGAGUAUGACUGUUUGAGGGUCAGCCUAAAAAAAAUCGACAUAGUCGAUGUUUUGCGGUGACAUUCGUCGGAAUUUGGGUCAUCUUAAACCUUUUGGUUUUAUGCGGCUUAAAAUUUCCUUUAAGAUUACACGAACGAUUAUAAGAUUUACUUAAAUGUUUAUGGUAUGGAUAUUUAUUAUACGUGGCUGUUGCAUU